rnacentral:rRNA from 1 species
UCCGUGCCAGCAGCCGCGGUAAUACGGAGGGUGCAAGCGUUGUCCGGAAUCAUUGGGCGUAAAGAGUUCGUAGGUGGUUUGUUAAGUUUGGUGUUAAAUGCAGAGGCUCAACUUCUGUUCGGCAUCGGAUACUGGCAGACUAGAAUGCGGUAGAGGUAAAGGGAAUUCCUGGUGUAGCGGUGAAAUGCGUAGAUAUCAGGAGGAACACCAGUGGCGUAAGCGCUUUACUGGACCGUAAUUGACACUGAGGAACGAAAGCCAGGGUAGCAAAUGGGAUUAGAUACCCCAGUAGUCCUGGCCGUAAACGAUGGAUACUAGGUGUUGCGGGUAUCGACCCCUGCAGUGCCGUAGCUAACGCGUUAAGUAUCCCGCCUGGGGAGUACGCACGCAAGUGUGAAACUCAAAGGAAUUGACGGGGACCCGCACAAGCGGUGGAACAUGUGGUUUAAUUCGAAGCAACGCGAAGAACCUUACCAGGGCUUGACAUCUAACAAACCUUUGUGAAAGCAGAGGGUGCUCUUCGGAGAAUGUUAAGACAGGUGGUGCACGGUUGUCGUCAGCUCGUGUCGUGAGAUGUUGGGUUAAGUCCCGCAACGAGCGCAACCCUCGUCGUUAGUUGGUACUAUCGGUAUACUUAUAGUAACCUCUCUAGCGAGACUGCCGGUGAUAAACCGGAGGAAGGUGAGGACGACGUCAAAUCAUCAUGCCCCUUAUGCUCUGGGCUACACACGUGUUACAAUGGCCGGUACAAUGAGCCGCCAACUCGCGAGAGUGAGCAAAUCUCUAAAAGCCGGUCUCAGUUCGGAUUGCAGUCUGCAACUCGACUGCAUGAAGUCGGAAUCGCUAGUAAACGCAGAUCAGCACGCUGCGUUGAAUACGUUCCCGGGUCUUGUACACACCGCCCGUCACACCAUGGAAGUCGACCACGCCCGAAGUACGUGAGCUAACCGUAAGGAAGCAGCGUCCUAAGGCAGGGUUGGUGACUGGGGUGAAGUCGUAACAAGGUAGCCGUACCGGAAGGUGUGGCUG